rnacentral:piRNA from 1 species
UGCAUUUGGCAUUUCUUGGGGGUCACACUU